CUGGGUGAAGUUGGGGAGUAACUCGGCGAUGUUGGUGAGUAGCUGGGAGAGGUUGGGGAAUAGCUGGGUGAAGUUGGGGAAUAGCUGGGCGAUGUUGGUGAGUAGCUGGGUGA